rnacentral:rRNA from 1 species
CAGGGAAUCUUGUCCAAUGGGCGAAAGCCUGACGGAGCAAUGCCGCGUGGAGGAGGAAGGCCUGUGGGUCGUAAACUCCUUUUCUCAGAGAAGAAGUUCUGACGGUAUCUGAGGAAUAAGCAUCGGCUAACUACGUGCCAGCAGCCGCGGUAAUACGUAGGGUGCGAGCGUUAAUCGGAAUUACUGGGCGUAAAGGGUGCGCAGGCGGUUUUGUAAGUCAGAUGUGAAAUCCCCGGGCUUAACCUGGGAACUGCGUUUGAAACUACAAGGCUAGAGUGUAGCAGAGGGGGGUGGAAUUCCGCGUGUAGCAGUGAAAUGCGUAGAUAUGCGGAGGAACACCGAUGGCGAAGGCAGCCCCCUGGGUUAACACUGACGCUCAGGCACGAAAGCAUGGGGAGCAAACAGGAUUAGAUACCCUGGUAGUCCACGCCGUAAACGAUGUCUACUAGUUGUCGGGAGACUUGAUCUCUUGGUAACGAAGCUAACGCGAUAAGUAGACCGCCUGGGGAGUACGGCCGCAAGGUUA